rnacentral:rRNA from 1 species
CCCUUCGGGGUGGAUUAGUGGCGAACGGGUGAGUAACACGUGGGCAAUCUGCCCUUCACUCUGGGACAAGCCCUGGAAACGGGGUCUAAUACCGGAUAACACUCUGUCCCGCAUGGGACGGGGUUGAAAGCUCCGGCGGUGAAGGAUGAGCCCGCGGCCUAUCAGCUUGUUGGUGGGGUAAUGGCCUACCAAGGCGACGACGGGUAGCCGGCCUGAGAGGGCGACCGGCCACACUGGGACUGAGACACGGCCCAGACUCCUACGGGAGGCAGCAGUGGGGAAUAUUGCACAAUGGGCGAAAGCCUGAUGCAGCGACGCCGCGUGAGGGAUGACGGCCUUCGGGUUGUAAACCUCUUUCAGCAGGGAAGAAGCGAAAGUGACGGUACCUGCAGAAGAAGCGCCGGCUAACUACGUGCCAGCAGCCGCGGUAAUACGUAGGGCGCAAGCGUUGUCCGGAAUUAUUGGGCGUAAAGAGCUCGUAGGCGGCUUGUCACGUCGGAUGUGAAAGCCCGGGGCUUAACCCCGGGUCUGCAUUCGAUACGGGCUAGCUAGAGUGUGGUAGGGGAGAUCGGAAUUCCUGGUGUAGCGGUGAAAUGCGCAG